rnacentral:rRNA from 1 species
AUUGAACGCUGGCGGCAUGCCUUACACAUGCAAGUCGAACGGUAGAAGUAGCAAUACUUUGAGAGUGGCGAACGGGUGAGUAAUACAUCGGAACAUGCCCAAUCGUGGGGGAUAACGUAGCGAAAGUUACGCUAAUACCGCAUAAGAUCUACGGAUGAAAGCGGGGGACUCGCAAGAGCCUCGCGCGAUUGGAGUGGCUGAUGUCAGAUUAGCUAGUUGGUAGGGUAAAAGCCUACCAAGGCAACGAUCUGUAGCUGGUCUGAGAGGACGACCAGCCACACUGGGACUGAGACACGGCCCAGACUCCUACGGGAGGCAGCAGUGGGGAAUUUUGGACAAUGGACGAAAGUCUGAUCCAGCAAUGCCGCGUGCAGGACGAAGGCCUUCGGGUUGUAAACUGCUUUUGUACGGAACGAAAAAGUCUUUUUUAAUAAAGAGGGCUUAUGACGAUACCGUAAGAAUAAGCACCGGCUAACUACGUGCC